rnacentral:rRNA from 1 species
UACGUAGGGUGCAAGCGUUAUCCGGAAUUAUUGGGCGUAAAGAGCUCGUAGGCGGUUUGUCGCGUCUGCUGUGAAAACCGGAGGCUCAACCUCCGGCCUGCAGUGGGUACGGGCAAACUAGAGUGCGGUAGGGGAGAUUGGAAUUCCAGGUGUAGCGGUGAAAUGCGUAGAUAUCUGGAGGAACACCGGUGGCGAAGGCGGCAUCCUGGACCAACACUGACGCUGAGGAGCGAAAGCCAGGGGAGCAAACGGG